CCCACGCGCCCCUCAUCCUCCUCCAGCUCGGCACCGCGACUCUCACCCCGCGCGCCACCACCGCUCUCCCGCGCUCGCGCUGGCCCGCACUCUGCUGCCCUGCCCGCCGCCGAGCCGCGCGCCCCUCCUCCGCCAGCUCUCCGCGGUGGUACCGGAGGCCGUCUUCGCGGCCACGGCGGAGCACGCCACGGCCUCCACCGCCCCGCCGGAGACCCGGUGCGGGGGCCUACCCGCUCUGGGCCUCCCACCUCAACCCCUGAGCGCCCAUCUUCGCCCGCUUCUGGGAGCACGUCGGCGGCGCCUGGUGGCCGCCAUCCGCCUAGGUACGCUCGACCUGCCUCCUCCUGCUCGCCAAUGAUCCUCGUCCUCCCGCUAAACAUCUCAGCAGCGAACCCCUGAAGCCCCUUCCCUGCCUCAUCUAAUGGAUGAUGCCCAGCCGCCCACCAACCACUCGAGGAAAUGCCUACUGAAGUAGCAAAACUGCUCACUUCAGCUUCCUGUUAAAUAAGCAUCCCUGAUCCCAUGCAGUUUGGUAACCACCACCGUUAGCACAGACUGCAGAAACAUUAGUGCACUAUCUUUGAUGGACAUUGGAGUCUCCCUGCUGAUAUUAAGUUCUUGCAACAGCUAUGGCUAAACAGUUUGCAACACCUUUGUCAGGGAUGGUAAUCUCUGUGAACUUUGCAAUGCUCAUCCCAUCUCUGAACAAGUCAUCUGUUGGCCUGCUUGGAAUACUUCACGGAGAACAACUCCAACGUCAAAGAUAUUCACGAGAUUCAAUUCGCAUGUUUACCUUAUUGCUAGAUGCACGAGUUAAUACUUGUAACAAAAAUCAUAAAUACCUAUUACCUCCAAUAAGGUCACACCAUUUAAUCUGAGCUUCUUCUUUUCAUCAAAAAAAAAAAACCCUGAGCUUCUGGAAGCUUCUGGAACAAAACCAAACGGAUGUCUCAUAUUGAGUUGUAGCUAAAUAGCAAUUGAGAAGCUAAUUUAGCAGCUAUAUACACUGACAUCCAAAUGAAUCUGAUGCCAUUUAGCAACUGCGAUAGAUAAAGCUGACAUCCAGCAAUUAAACUGUUAAUCCGUAUCUUCAAAUAUUUCAAGUUUUGAUAUUCAUGUAUCAGGAAUUAUAACCAUGAAUCAAAUUUAGUUCUUCAAUUUAUUUGUAACUGAGAUGUUUCUUGGAUAAGCAGAUACAUCUAUGUUGAUUUCCAUAAUGUACUCUUAUAGAUAUGUCCAUAUUUCUCCCUUUAUGUGUUUCUGAAGCUUUAGCUAAUCAGUUUCUAUCCUUUUAUUCUUUAAAACUGCCAGGCUCCUGUUAUUAAGUAAUAUUUUACUUUGAUGGAGCCUAAAAACUUCAAGUCUCUACCAAUUCUUUAUUUAUAUUCGGACACCAUCAGGAAGUAAUUUACCUGAUUUAUCUAUUAAGCUCAUAUGGAUGAUAGAGAACGGUUGGCUGUGUGAAGAAUAAUGCAGAAAAAGAAUAACCUAGCUCUCAAAUUAUGGUGUCUCUUACUCUACGGAUACUACUAAAGGUUCUCAAAAAAAAUAUUAAAUCCACAUGUGAAAGUAUGUGAAAAUCGCUGGACCGCGUUUCUUUAAAUCCACAUCUUCAUUAAAGUUUUAGAUUCCUCGCACUCGACAUAUGUGACAAAUAAACUACAACUUCGACAGUUUAUAUAUGUUGACAAGGUUCAGUCAAGUAUUGAUGUUCCAGAUAAUCAUAAUCCAAUAGCUGACAAGCUCAUCAACACUGCAAGGAGACCACAACUUCUGUGCUUGACUCAGCAGAGUAAUGAGUACUGUGUGCUACACCACUUCUUUUCAUUGUGUGGCGAAGUUUUGUAUAACAGUACUAAACUAGCAAAUUCAGUUUCUCAUUUACUUGCCUAUUAGGGAGUGAAUUAAUGGAACCGAGUAUUAUUGAGGCUUGGUUCAGCUCGAAAUAUUAGUAUUAAUAGUAGGAUUUUAACCGUGGGAAGUAGGACGAUUACAAUAAUUGAUCAUCAGACAUAGAGUGUCUUAUCUUUUAUUUCAUUUCUUGUAUUUUGCUGGCUGCAAGCAGAAACCUUGGCGUAGUGAAAAUGGUAGUAAAAAACCUGAACAGUAUAAAGCAGUUGAUACUCAGGUUUGUUUAAUCCUUCAUAUAUUAAUUCUUAUGCAGCAUUUCAUGUUUGUAUGUACUAAUAUGAUAAUUCAAGUGUUCAGUAAAGAAUAGCAGGAACAUAAUUGCAUCAUGCCUUAUCUUCUGCAAAGCUUUGGUAUGUCAGGCUAUUCGAGUUCAUUUGAGCAUUGGAAACUAACCUCGAGCUGAGUUUCAUCAUAUUGGAAUUCAGUUGAGCAUUGUCAUUUGUUUUGUCAGACUAUUCGAAUUGCAAUCCUGCUCAUAGUAUCUUUGUUGCAUUUAGUCAAUUGGAAUAUCAUAGUAAAAGAACAUACAGUUAGAUUUAGCACUUACGUAGUUCAGUGUCAUAGUUUCCAUAAUAGUUGAAAACUAUCGUCAUGUGACCUUAUUUCUCUGCAUAAUCCUCCAAACAAUGAUUUCAAGAUGGCAAUGCCACAUAGAAAAAGCCAUAAGGUUUCACAAGGAUAACGAAAUUACAUUGAAAGAAUCAAUCAAAAUGUUAGCACGAACCCUGUCGUGUGUUGCAAGAAUCGAUCAGGUAUGGUCAUUCUAUAGAGCCUCAAUGUUGCCCUUCUUAUUUUUGCAUAUCCAUCUACAUCUAAUAUUUGCUAUAUGUUAUUUUAAGUGUGGAGAAUAUUUGUGAGAACUUAAAGCAAGAACAACAUCGAGAAAAAGAUAUCCCAAAAUGUAUGAAUUCCAAAUAAAGUACUCAAAUUGGAUGGUCAUUGGGUGCAUUGCCUGGUGAUUUCGUGUGAUUGCCUCCAUUGGUGAUGGAAGCUUCCAGGAACAUGGGUCUUUAUUCAGCAAGCAAAUAACAGAGGAUCAAAUUUUGUGGAGCUUAAAUAUGUUGAGAAAUAAAUUUAACUAGGAUUCUCUUUUAGGAUUUUCCUUGAGUGGACAAAGUUAAGGACUUGUGGUUUUUCUAAAUAUAGAAACACGCAUCAUAUAUAAUGUGUCGGACAGAGCAGAUAUGUACCUAGGUGCCUCUUCCAUGUUUGGCCUUUAAGCAACGUCUUUUGGAUUCCAUAAUAUGCUCCUUUUCAGUAGCUUAUGUAAUUUAUUAUAUGUCAUCAUGAUUUAUUGUAUUAA